CGGAUCGCAGGCUGCAACCCGCCUGCGUGAAGUUGGAAUCGCUAGUAAUCGCGGAUCAGCAUGCCGCGGUGAAUACGUUCCCGGGCCUUGUACACACCGCCCGUCACACCAUGAGAGUCGGGAACACCCGAAGUCCGUAGCCUAACCGCAAGGGGGGCGCGGCCGAAGGUGGGUUCGAUAAUUGGGGUGAAGUCGUAACAAGGUAUC
rnacentral:rRNA from 1 species